rnacentral:rRNA from 1 species
UCGGGGUGCCCAGGCGCGAAAACUCCACAAUGUACGGAAGUACGAUGGGGUUAUCUCGAGUGCAGUCCGAUAAGGGCUGCUUUUCCAUAGAGUAAUAUCCUGUGGGAAUAAGAGGGGGGCAAGACUGGUGUCAGCCGCCGCGGUAACACCAGCCCCUCGAGUGGUGGGGACUAUUAUUUGGCCUAAAGCGUCCGUAGCUGGCUGUAUCCGUCCCCGUUAAAUCCAGCGUCCUAAGCGUUGGACCGCGGGUGAUACCAUACAGCUAGAGGGUGGGAUAGGUGAGCGGUAUUUCUGGGGUAGGGGCGAAAUCCUUUGAUCCCAGGAGGACCACCAGUGGCGAAGGCUGCUCACUAGAACACGCCUGACGGUCAGGGACGAAAGCUGGGGCAGCGAACCGGAUUAGAUACCCGGGUAGUCCCAGCUGUAAACGAUGCUANGCUAGGUGUUGGGUCGGCCACGCGCCGCCCCAGUGCCGCAGGGAAGCCGUUAAGCUAGCCGCCUGGGGAGUACGGCCGCAAGGCUGAAACUUAAAGGAAUUGGCGGGGGAGCAC